rnacentral:rRNA from 1 species
AACGCUAGCUACAGGCUUAACACAUGCAAGUCGAGGGGCAGCAUAGAAGUAGCAAUACUUUGGUGGCGACCGGCGCACGGGUGAGUAACGCGUAUGCAACCUACCUAUCAGAGGGGAAUAACCCGGCGAAAGUCGGACUAAUACCGCAUAAAACAGGGGCACCGCAUGGUGAUAUUUGUUAAAGAAAUUCGCUGAUAGAUGGGCAUGCGUUCCAUUAGGUAGUUGGUGAGGUAACGGCUCACCAAGCCGACGAUGGAUAGGGGAACUGAGAGGUUGGUCCCCCACACUGGUACUGAGACACGGACCAGACUCCUACGGGAGGCAGCAGUGAGGAAUAUUGGUCAAUGGGCGAGAGCCUGAACCAGCCAAGUCGCGUGAAGGAAGAAGGAUCUAUGGUUCGUAAACUUCUUUUGCAGGGGAAUAAAGUGCAGGACGUGUCCUGUUUUGUAUGUACCCUGAGAAUAAGGAUCGGCUAACUCCGUGCCAGCAGCCGCGGUAAUACGGAGGAUCCGAGCGUUAUCCGGAUUUAUUGGGUUUAAAGGGUGCGUAGGUGGUUUAAUAAGUCAGCGGUGAAAGUUUGCAGCUUAACUGUAAAAAUGCCGCUGAAACUGUUAGACUUGAGUGUAAAUGAGGUAGGCGGAAUGCGUGGUGUAGCGGUGAAAUGCUUAGAUAUCACGAAGAACUCCGAUUG